CGUUGGAAACCAUCGUCACCCCCACAGGAUGGGGCCGCCCCUCUGACAGCGCCGGCGGUAUCUCCAACGUCCUUCGUCAGCGUGGAUG